GGAUAACCGGAAGAAAUUCCGACUAAUACAGCAUAACACUCCUGAGGGACAUCCUUCGGGAGUCAAAGGAGGCGACUCCGGUGACGGAUGGGCAUGCGGCGCAUUAGGUAGUUGGUAGGGUAACGGCCUACCAAGCCGACGAUGCGUAGGGGUUCUGAGAGGAAGGUCCCCCACAUUGGAACUGAGACACGGUCCAAACUCCUACGGGAGGCAGCAGUGAGGAAUAUUGGUCAAUGGCCGGAAGGCUGAACCAGCCAAGUCGCGUGAGGGAAUAAGGCCCUAUGGGUCGUAAACCUCUUUUGUCAGGGAGCAAAGGCGUCCACGUGUGGACGAGAGGAGAGUACCUGAAGAAAAAGCAUCGGCUAACUCCGCGCCAGCAGCCGCGGUAAUACGGAGGAUGCGAGCGUUAUCCGGAUUUAUUGGGUUUAAAGGGUGCGUAGGCGGAGUGUCAAGUCAGCGGUAAAAUUUCGGGGCUCAACCCCGUCGUGCCGUUGAAACUGACGCCCUUGAGUGAGUGAGAAGUAAGCGGAAUGCGUGGUGUAGCGGUGAAAUGCAUAGAUAUCACGCAGAACGCCGAUUGCGAAGGCAGCUUACCGGCGCUCAACUGACGCUGAGGCACGAAAGUGCGGGUAUCGAACAGGAUUAGAUACCCUGGUAGUCCGCACAGUAAACGAUGAAUGUUAGAUGUCCGGGGCGAAUGAGUCCUGGGU
rnacentral:rRNA from 1 species